rnacentral:lncRNA from 1 species
GUACAUGUGUCUGUAUGUUUGUCCUUUCUUCAUUUCCUCGCUGACCCUAGCCAGGGUUCAGGAACCCAAAUCAAAUGGGCUGUGGCAUGCCUACAUGUGUAGGGGAAUGCUGUAGCCAUGCCUGUUUAGGGGCUGGCUACAGGUAUGACUGACCAUGCCUACCAGGGCAUGGUCAGGGUGACAGAGGAAAGGUUAAGAGUGAGGGAUGCUCAUGUGGUGGGUCUUCUUUCGUUUUCAUCUUCGGCUUGCUGUACUUACUGCUGCCCUGCUGGCUGGCUAGGUUGCUAUAUAAGUAAGGCUUUUCCCUAUUAAAUUCCCUCAUAUUUUUACCUGACUCAUAUUGGUAAUUUCUCACAUUAUCUGGUUGUCAGAAGCGGGAUCUUGUAGACCUAGGUCCAGUUUUAGAGAGCCUGCGUGUCCCACCAGGAGGGCAGACUAGGCUGGGAAAGCACUCCCUCUCUCCACAGGUGCUCCUGGCUCACAGCUGAUCCACCCUGCCACACAAGCAUGUUCCGCUGCCACUGAGCCUCUCUGAACAGUCCACCCAACUGGGAGAGUUUUCCAGACCUCCCAUGGUUUUACCACCACAGUUUCUAGCUGCAGGCACCAGACCAGCCUAGAUUGCAGCCUACCUGCACUCAGAGGCCUCCAGCCCUUGAGCCAAGUAGGCCUCGGGAGUAGGCCUUGGGAGUAGGCCUCAGCUUUCAGCAUGGCCUGCAGCUUCCCCUGGCAGCAGCAGCCGUAAGGCCGUGCCUCUUUCAGUGGUUGCGGCCACAAGGCCAUAUAGUCUCUAAGCUAAGUGCAGCCGCCUGUGUGACCUCAGCUCCAACCCUGCCACCAUCUUGCCUGACUGACUGCUGCAAAAUGCCGCAUGGACUAGGUGAACGCCUACACCACCUGCUGAUCAAUUAUAGUUACUGCAUCUGGAGUAGAAAUCAGAUUCCUGUGUUCCUGAGAGGUGAGCAAGCGCCUGCUUCAUAUUCCUGUCAUGGGGCCACCUGCUACCACCCCCCCCACGAUUGACUGUAUCCUAAAAACUGCGAGCCAAACAAGCCCUUCCUCCCAUGAGAUGCUUCUAAUCAGGUGCUACCACACCCAGAUCGGGUAGUGCUGGAGACCAAACUUGGGGUUCCGUAGAUGCCUACAGGGAAUUUUGGGAGUAAUUGUUAUCCGCAUCGGCCUUCAAUUAGGACAGCCAAUCAUCUCAGUUUUCCCAGGACUAAGGAAUCUGUUGUGAUUACCUAGACUGUACGAGACAGAGUAGAGCACUCUUUUGAGCAUGUCUGAGGGCAUUUCAGAGACCACCUGAUAGGGAAGGCUGUGAUUCAGCCCAUAGUCUGGUCCUCAGAUAAGACUCAGAAUUUGGUCGGCAGCAAUGGCGCAUGCCUUUAAUCCCAGAGCUCAUGAGACACAGGCAGGCAGAUCUCUGUGAGUUCGAGGCCAGCCUGGUCUGCAGAGGGAGUUCCAGGACAGUCAAGCCUACACAGAGAAACCCUGUACCGACAAUCAAAAAACAAAACAAAACAAAGACUCGUAAUUUUGAACGUACUAUCAAGACACAGUAGGACUGUGGAGCUGGAGUCUCGUUGGAGCGGUUGCCACAAGCCUGCCUUGGAGGGUGUACCGUGCUGGGGCCCCUUCCCCUCUGCUUCUCUACUGCUGCAAGGUCUUAAAGCUCAAGGGGUCUUUGGACUCGCCAUAUAGCUCAGGCUGCAACUCAAGAUCCUCCUGCUUCAGCCUCUCCAGUUACAUUUACAUCGCACAACCCGCAAAACCAGAUGCCUUCACGGAACACGAUGGAUUCCUGUGAUAGCUACUAUUACUGAUGGAUUAAAAGAUAUGUUACAAUCCAUAAUGUUUUAGAAUUGAAGCAGUUUGGUUCUAUUAGGAUGCCAUGUUGGAGGCCAGAAGCACAACUGAAGGACAGAAGGGACCAAACAAUGGACGAGGAGGAAACAGCUGGGGGUGAAAGGACACCCAUACUGUUGCAUUGGCUCUUGCACGUGGUCUGGAAGGAUGAGUUUGCUGAUAGGGGGUUCUUGAAGAAUGAAAAAGCGAAUUCCAAGUGAAGAGAAAUCUCAAGAGCUGUGGCUAAAAGCAGAAAACACAUGGAAACUUUUGGUGCGCUAUGAUUGGAGAAGAGAAAUAUGUAAUGGAGUUCUGGGGAUGGAACUCAGAGCCUUAAACAUGCCCCACCUCUGACCUACAGCCCGAGUUCCUGGUUCCAUACCGACUGAAUCGCUUCAAUUUAACUAUGCAGAGUUCUCUCACCCAGGAGCCCUUGGAGCAAAGAUCACAGAUGACCCUUGGAUGUAGAAGGAUGUGGGGAAUCUCAGCAGGGUUUACCUGACCAUGCUAGGUUCCCAGUGAUGUGAACAGCCUCUACCACACACUCCUACCAUGAAUAGAACUGCUCUGCUCUGCUUUCCUUGAUGCAAUGGGCUGAAACUCUGAUAACCAUGAGCUAAAAGAGCUCCUUCCCUCCUUAAGGUCCUUCAUCCCAUUGGGCAUUCUGUUGAAGUAAUGCCAAAUAACUAAUGGACUGUGGAAUGCAAAUUACACCACGGAGCUGUUUCUACCUUGAGGCAAGAAGAUUGUCCUCUGUAAUUCCUUAACUGUCAGUCAUAAGCCUAGAGACAGAAGCAUCCCCUAUUCAGAGGCUCUCCUCAGCCAAUUCUAGUAAGCCAAGGUCACAGGUUUAAGCUGCUAGCCACAUGCUGGACAUUGUUGUGGGCAGUGGGAGUAGGAGUAAGAGAAGGAAGGAAUGCACCAGCUGAUACAGGAUUGGAAUGGGGCAUCAAAGCAUCCUCUACUGCAUCCGUCCGACCCAUGCUUUCUUUCAACAGACAUACAUCUGGAACUUUUCUCAGGACCACUGGGGAAUAACCUCUUCUUGUGUUUAUUGGGGACCUAGAAGGAUACUCAUUGGCCUGUGCAGUAUCCACAUGGGAAGAGCUAAGUGAGAAAGCAAGACUAAUAAAGAGAGGCAGAGACCCAGGGACGUUGUUUGAACCAGAGAAGAGCUGAACAAAUAGUCAAGCGGCCUUGGCUGCUGGUGGUAUCUAAAUACUGUGAAAACUGGUGAAUCAUAGCAAUACUGAUAUUUAAAAUGAGAGCCAUAGCAAAAACACUCUUGGAAGAUGCUGGGAGAUCAGACAAGCAACCGGCAAAAUUGAAGAAAAGGUUUUGUGUUUGUGUCAGUUCUAUUCUAUGUAACUUACUUGGGGGAAUGGUAGCAUAUUCCCCAAUGUCACAUUCACUGUUUUUCUCCAUCUCCUAGGACUGUGAAAUAGGCAUGUUCAUUUACAUCUUUUCCUAGAACAGUCUGACCCUUCUUGCAUACCACAUGAUGCUACCUCCCAUGAUCACAGUGAAUCAGAAACAGCAGAAGCCAAUCUAAAAGCAGCCAAAUCUUUUGAUCAUCUAAAAACCCAUUAGUGGUAUCUGAUGGGCAUUUAAAUAAGAAGCCACAGGGCACAGGCUCUAAGCAGCACAGGCACAAGCCAACACCAUAGCCUGUAGGUAGCUAAAAUAACAGUAGUGAAGCACCUUGGGAACCUGACUAUAUAGGUCUUCACAGAGAAACAGGUUAAUGACACAAAUGCCAAAAAUAAGCAGAACCCAAGAAAUGCAGCUUCAUAUGAACUAGAGGGAUAGCCUCACACUUUGAAUUGAAACUUCAAAUUAUGAAAGGGGUCUCACUGAGUAUUCUGAGAUGGCUUUGAACUUCCUAUGCUACUGUCUGAGCCUCUCAAGUGUUGGG